AAUCAUUUUUGUAUUAGUUUUCUAAUAUUUUAUGUUAUUGUUUCAUUUCAUUACAACGAUUUGGACAUCUACAAUCUCAUAUCUACAUGAACAUUUUCUGAUAUCUACCGCUCAUUCAUCAUUUUUCUUCUUGACUACAAGAUGGAACAUUUCAUAGAGCAAGAGGACCCAUCUAACCAUGUAAAUGGUGCAAAAGGGUCUUUGUGUUGGGGUAUACAGGCUAUAGAUUUCAAGAUUUUGUGUGCAGCAGUAGUUUAGGAGCUGUUGUUUCUUCAUCAGAUGUGAAUCCUGGAAUCCUCCGCCGUCAAGUUAUUGGGUUUUUAGAUCUUUAAUUGGAUCAUUUCUAUGAUUCAUCAAGGGCUCCUCAUUUAUUGCACGGUCUCGGUUAGUCGCACUUAAGUAAUGCAAAUGCUGAUAGAAGCUCUUGUGCUGGUUGAAUAUAUGGGAAAGGAGUCAAAUGCAUAAGGCCAUUACCAUUGCACUAAAAUAAUGCAAAUGCUGAUAGAAGCUCUUGUGCUAGUUGAAUAUAUAGGAAAGAAGUCAAAUGCAGAGGGUUGACCAUUACCAUUGAUAGUAGUUUAUUAUUUAAGUUUUAGUUAUUUGUUGUAAGUUGAAUUAUGUUAUGCUGGAUUUAUGUUGUAUUAACGAUGGAAUUAUGUUCAA